rnacentral:rRNA from 1 species
UAGGGAAUCUUCCGCAAUGGGCGAAAGCCUGACGGAGCAACGCCGCGUGAGUGAUGAAGGUCUUCGGAUCGUAAAACUCUGUUAUUAGGGAAGAACAAAUGUGUAAGUAACUAUGCACGUCUUGACGGUACCUAAUCAGAAAGCCACGGCUAACUACGUGCCAGCAGCCGCGGUAAUACGUAGGUGGCAAGCGUUAUCCGGAAUUAUUGGGCGUAAAGCGCGCGUAGGCGGUUUUUUAAGUCUGAUGUGAAAGCCCACGGCUCAACCGUGGAGGGUCAUUGGAAACUGGAAAACUUGAGUGCAGAAGAGGAAAGUGGAAUUCCAUGUGUAGCGGUGAAGUGCGCAGAGAUAUGGAGGAACACCAGUGGCGAAGGCGGCUUUCUGGUCUGUAACUGACGCUGAUGUGCGAAAGCGUGGGGAUCAAACAGG